rfam:Triticum urartu cultivar G1812 contig159092, whole genome shotgun sequence.
UAAGUACUCCCUUCGUUCGAAAAUACUUAUCAUCAAAAUGGAUAAAAAUGGAUGUAUCUAAAACUAAAAUAUGUCUAGAUGCAUCUUUUUUUAUUUAUUUUGAUAACAAAUAUUUCUGGACGGAGGAAAUACUAC